rnacentral:lncRNA from 1 species
UGUUCAUUCUCAUUGUCAAGGCUCAAAAUGCAGGGAACUACUGGAUAAACUUGAUCUAAAAAUGUCUGUAGAAGCCUGACCUCAUCUCAACCUAAAGGAUAUAACUGGAGACUAAAACACAGAAGAGUUCCCAGAAUGUUUAACUGGUGAGUGUAGCAGUUUCAAAACUUGGCCAUAAAUUCCCUAACACUCCUUGAGAUGUUCUACCCACUUGAAUCUGGUUUGAACAA